UCAAUAAUUAGUGGACCCAUAUGAGGUAAACGUGCUGCAUAGGACGUAAAUGGAAGAAAUUUGUUUUUUUCUACAUUUAAGGUCUGACCAAGAUUCUGAUUCAUACCACACAGCAGUAUCAUCAGCAAAACUUAGAAUGGAACCAUUUACGUUAAGGCACAAAUUUCAUCAUGGCCUGGAGAUUUCUUCGAUUUUAACUGAUUAAUAAUUGAAUUCACUUCAUCACAAUCCGUAUAAUGUAAAUACAUAGUAUUUUCUAACAUAUCAUUUAUCUUAUGUGUACUUACAUUUUUAAUUUUAUUUGCAUAAU